UUGUACCCGUAUCCGUGUCUAUGCUUCUUAGAUUGUAGGAUAUAGAUUUCACUCCCUAGAUUUCACGUUUGAAGGGUGCAUAUCUAUGUUUUUGUGUUUAGCCUAUGUUUUCAUAUAAUUUACACUUUCUGUUUCUUUUUUUUAGGUUUUGACCUGUGAUAAUUUGAUGAAAAAUCAGUUUUUUAUUUUAUUUCCUGUUGCUUUGUGAUGCUUUACGUGCUACCUUCACCCAUGUAGUUUGUCCACUGUUCCUUUGGGAUGCCCCAAUAUACUAUUAAUGUUGAAACCCCAAUAGGCAGAUUAUUAAUAACUUUCCUAACAGUUACUUUAUUAAAAAAUACCCCUUUUUAUUUGCUUUAUUUCAAUUUAAACCUUGGAUGGCAGUUUUGGAAAAGUUGAAUCCUCUACGGUGGACUAAUAAUAUGGGAUGGAUGCAAGCAGUUCUUGCAGUGCAAAACAAGAAGGAAUAAAAGUAUGCAAAUCCCAUUGAAUUGAGCCAGUUUGUGGAUUUCAUCAAGCAUGACAAACUCCAAACUGAGACCUUCAUUAUCGGGCCAAACCAGUCUUGAUUUUCAGGUUUCUCGUGGCUUUCAUAUAACCCCUUACUUUUCAUGUUCUUUGAGCAACAACUCAUAUAGCCUUUGAUCUCUUGACAUGGGCUUUGAUCUAAUAUCUUCAAAUCAGAGUUCAAGUUGGUAAUAUCACAGGUUCAAAAGAUACAGUCUCUCACAUUAAAUAUUGGAGUUGUUUACAAGUUUGUCUUCUGUGUGUUUAUUUGUAAUUUUGAAAGUUUUUAAAGGUAUUCAUGUUCAAAAGAUAUGUUCUUUGGUGGUUGCCAUCUUUCAAUGUCUCUCUUAUAGAAUAAUAUUCUAAUUGCAUGAUUUCCAUAUGUGAUCAGUCUUUUAAAGAAAUGGUUGCAAUGUGUCUGGUGAAAAAUCAAGCAAAGAGGCAAAACUUAUUGAAACACACCUUUUUCAAGCAUGCAAAGUCUCUUGAGAUUUCUAUGAAGAAAUGAUUCGCUGACUUGCCACCCCUUUGGAAUCAUGUAAAAGCCCUCCAGGUUACCCAUCAUAUUGCUGAGAUGCACCCUCCGUACUUUCACUUGUCCUAGUAAGCUUGUCUCAUGGCUAUGGUUAAUUUUGCGGCUUAAAGAUCAAGUGCAACAGUGUAAAGAACAAGAGGUACACUGAUGAUAUGGAGCUUGAUGAUGCUGUGCAUAUGGCUAUUUUGAUGCUGAAGGGAAGGGGUAUAUGAAUGUUAAGCUUUUUUUUUUUUUUUUUUUUUUAAACAAAUAUAUUUUUACUUAAAAAGCUGUGGUGGGGUGCAGCUAGAAUGGUAAAAGGUCAAUGAUGCUAACAGGUUGAUGCUUAUUGGAGAAGAUGUAGAUGGUGAUUAAGGCUGAAAAUUGCUGGAUAUUGUUUUGGAAUGGUGUAACUUCAUGAUGCUAUACAUUGGUAUAAGUAAUUGGCUUCUUGGAGAAGCCAUGUAUGGAGAGAAGAUGCAUUCCUGCCAGAAUGGGUAUUACGUGGAGCCAAACCUAGAGAAAGUAGAUUUUCUUUUGUGGUCGUAAGUUGCCUUUUGAUUGGAAUUUUUCCAGUGCAAGGGCUAGUUGCUUAGUUUGUAGAGAGGAAAUUGAGCUAGGAAUACCCGAGCCACUAGGCUUAGGACUGGCUUGCUUGGGCUGGUUGGUUUAGGUGAAAAAGCCCAUGACAAGUGCUAGAGAAGUUCAUGCCAGGCCUCAAUUUGCUUUGGGCAAGAAAGGGUCAUGUUUAGCAUAGCCUUGGUUCAACACUUUCACAUUCAAUCUUGUGGAUCUAGUCCAAGAGGCAGUUAUGUUAAGCAUCCAAUUACUAGAAGAGACGCAAUUACUAUCCUUCUGCUCUAUGAGUAGUCUGGUUGACGUGUAUUCCUUUGGCAAAGUGUAGACAUUCUUGGAAAGACAUGCUAAACUUCUUUCAUAUGUCACUGUCACUGUCACAUAUACUAUGCUGGCAUGAACUGAAAAUGACCAUCAUUAAUUAAUUCAAAUUAUUAAAUUUGGUUUAAUAGUCAUAUAAACAAUCUAGAGUAAUUUUUGGUAGGCAUAUCACCUAAUUUCGCCAAUGGGCUCUAGCUUGAAUAGCACUUCUUCUCCCUCAAUAGUGGGACAUAGGGUGAGGUUGUGGAUUCAAAACUCACAUGGUGU